rnacentral:misc_RNA from 1 species
GUUUGCACGGGAUCUGCUUCGCCGUCUCCCCGAUCUCGAACGUGUCCUUGCAGACAGCGCACUGGGCCUCAUCAGACUCGAGGAGGGAGGAGGAGAUCUUGAUGUCGGGGAGGGAGUCGACUACGGAUUUCGAGGCCGGAGGCGUGCCGUAGCGGUUGGGAUCGUUCUCGGCGAGUUGCUGGAUGAGCUGCUCGAGCCCUGGGCCGACGAAGUAGUCGCCGAGGCUGGCUCCGGAGAGCGGCCCACCGCCGUGACCCUCGAAGACGACCUGGACGUUGGCUCCGCCGGCGACGAGAUUCUGCAUGUAAGUCUGGAAGAAGAGGAGGGGGUUGAAGGGCUCACCGUCAGCGGCGGGGGCUUGGGAGGUAGAGCGGAUGGGGUCGGGGCCCAGGAAGGCCGAAAUGUCAAAUCGGCCGGAGGCCGGGGAGAAGAAGAUGCUGGGGCCAUGGCCGGAGGAGAAGAGGGAAUCGACGGGGGAGGAGUGGAAGGAAUGGAAGGCGGCGGGGUUAGAGUUAGGGUUAGGGUUAGGUGGUGGGAGGUCGAAUUCCUCGAGGAAACCGCCCUGGCAGACGGGGCAGGCGAUGUCAGAGGCGGAAGAGGGAGUGAGGGUGACGGUGCGGUCGCACUGGUGGCAGAAGUAGCGCCGGGGCGCGGAGGGGGCUGCGACGGCGGCGGAGGACGACAUAGUUUCACCGGCGACGAUGGAUUG